AUGGACCCGUACUGCAUCUGGAACUCGCACCUGCAGCUCAUGGAGCUUUUGAGCUUCUGGCAGUUGAACCAUGAGUCGCCGGCCUCGGCGAUCACGGCGCUGUCACCGGUGAACAUCUGCUGGAUGUGCUUGAACAGCACGUUGACGCGCAGCUGCUCGCCGGGCUCAGUCUCCAGCGGCUGCCCCUGCGGUACAAAGAUCCUCUUGUAG
rnacentral:rRNA from 1 species